rnacentral:rRNA from 2 species
UUUUUUGUGGUUGACCUCGGAUCAGGUAGGAAUACCCGCUGAACUUAAGCAUA